rnacentral:misc_RNA from 1 species
UGACUUUAAAAAACAAAACAACACUACUAACAGGUUGAAGCUCAGCGAAAUACUAAUCGGUCACAUUUUCAAUUCAACAAUUUUAAUUUGUCCGACGAACUGCCUUUUGUUUUGUACUUCAAUUUCCAUACCAAGGCUAGCACAGCUCAGGGCAGAGCGUAGUACUUUUUGGAGGCGUGUAGCUGUCGAGAUAGCGCAGGCGAUAACUUGAUCGGCGUGCGUCGCCUGUCUCAGCGAGUUUGAUUCUUUUCCUUUACAUUACGAUAAGCAGUCCGGUUACAUCAUGAAUGGUUCAUUACGGUGUCUACCGCGUCUUCGACGCAUUACGGCAAAAUGUACCCGUCGGAGGAAGCGGUUCCCGCGGCACCUGUGAUUCAAGCGGGUGACUUCAUUCCCCUGCAGCCCCUUUCGGAGAAAGGGACAACUACUGGCCUGUCGAUAAGCUCAGCGUUUGAAGGGAAUGUCACCGUAAACAUGCCUCCGCCCAAGCCAGGUGUUUUCUUCUUUGCCUUGCUGAUUUUGGCCGCUGCGUGGACCCUUGCUGGUGUCGCGAUUUUUGGCGUGUGUUUCUUUUUUUACAAGCACUACCACGCGGCGAUAUGGGCCUUGGCAUCGGCAAUCUUUGCAGGAGGUGUCCUUCACCUUCAGAUUCUGCACCUCGCAAAAAGGCUUGACAUGUGGCACGAUGUGCACACGCUGGGAGGACUGAAGGUUCUUGGUGUCAUUGUGUCUGCUGGCAGCCUUGUUUCAUCCACAGCAUACUGGGCCUUCGUCAUCACUAGGCAUGAAGUGUUUUCCAUGGCCAGUGGCGCAUUGUACCCUCCAGCUAUUCUGAGCACCAUCACUCUACUCUGGGGCCUUCUCCUCUACGGCAGUGCCAGGCAUUGCCAGAAGCGCGUUGCCGAUGCUCACCCAAGUCUUCUUGCCUACGGUGGUUAUGGCGCCCCUGACGCAUAAGUGUUGCUUGGACUAAGAACUCUGUUUUAGUUUAACUUUUUGUACUUUUGUACAAAUAUACAUGCAAUUGCUGGUGCUGUGCAAGUAUUUCCCCCUUGUAAAUAGCAAACUUUUUGAUCUUUUAAUACUUUUGUAGUUGUUUUCCCGUUGCUGUAUAGUAUUGAUUCCAUAAAUUAAAGGCUUUUUGUCAUUUUUCUUAUCAG